GCCGGGCAUGGUGGCGCAUGCCUGUAGUCCCAGCUACUCAGGAGGCUGAGGCAGGAGAAUCGCAUGAACCCAGGAGGUGGAGGUUGCAGUGAGCCGAGAUUGCGCCACUGCACUCCAGUCUGGGCGACAGAGUGAGACUCUGUCUCAU
rnacentral:SRP_RNA from 1 species